CUUGUUGGCCGAAUUGAUGGUGAUGCAUUUCAUUUUGUUUUUCAACCUUUUCAUGUUGAGUUUUGGCCAAAUCUUGUUCCAAAUACUUGUUUAGACUCUUGUGUACUGCACUUACGCGAAAAACCAUGAAUUUUGGAAGGUGAAAACCUCAUGUUGUACUUGUUUCUUUUCUAAAAAUUCGAGUACGCUGGCAGCUAUGUACCCCGCUGUUUUUAGCCUUAAAAUCCUUUAGUUUGGCAGUCUUUUGGUUCAAUCUUGUUCAUAUCACUUGUUAAAACCAAUCUUGUUCAUAUCACUUGUUAAAACCUUGAAUUACAAUGGUGUGUUGAAUUGGAGUGAAUCUAAUAACUUAAAAAGGUGAACCACCUUGAUUUCUUCACUGUUUUGCUGCUAAAAAUUUCCAGCAAUGAAAUGAAAUAAUGAACACUUUGGUUGCUCAUGUUUCUUGGGUCCAAAUGCUUUCC
rnacentral:lncRNA from 1 species